AAAGAUAAUCGCGAGUACCGAAUGGUAUUUGAGGAAAGUCCGGGCUCCACAGGGCAAAGUGCUGGAUAACGUCCAGCGAGGGUGACCUCAGGGAAAGUGCUAUAGAAAUUUAAACCGCCUAGCUUUGUUAGGUAAGGAUGGAAAGGUGCGGUAAGAGCGCACCAGCAGUUAGGUGACUAACUGGCUUUGGUAAACCCCACUUGGAGCAAGACCGAAUAGGGAAGGGAUGAUGUUGCCCGCGGAGCCUUCCGGGUUGUGUCGCUUGAGUUGUCAGGUAACUGACAAUCUAGAUAAAUGAUUAUCACCGCGUGAGCGGAACAAAACUCGGCUUAUUGAUU
rnacentral:RNase_P_RNA from 1 species